CUGGUUUACAGAGGCUGUUUUUGCUGACAGCUGCUCUGCUGCAAAAGCCUGCUGUCCUUACUAAAAAAUGACCAGUGCUAGCCUAAACCUAGGGAAAAACUUUCUGUGUUUUUAAGCCUGGGUUGUUUCUGCGGACUUGCAUGUUAUUGAAACACCUAUGCCUGAGGGGCUAAAUGAAGGUUAUGGGUCUUCAGGAUUGGUUCAGGAAAAUGAAUUCUAUGACGCUGCUGUAAAACCACCUCUGAUUGGGCCGAUCCAAAGGAAUUGAUAACAAGUGUGAGAGGGUCUGAACCAGAAAAGUUGCCUCAUUCUACAGAAAGACUUCAAAGGGUUAAACCAGAAAAGCUGCCUCAUUUACAAAAAGACUGCAAAGGCACACUUUUCCAACAGGCCUUCUCUCCCAGAAACACAGAGCAGCUGCAGGUCUAGCAAACCCAGCCAAAGCCUACCAGAACUAAUGCUCCACUGCACACAGACCUCUCCCCAAGGCAAGAGGAGGAGAUGGAAAACAAACCACGUGGGACAGAUGGCAUCUGUCUCUGGGGAAGGUAGUUCAUGACCUCUCAUAGAACAGAAUAGAGAACACAGAGCUCAUCCUGGGAAGCAGGGGGGUUGUGCUGGGAAGCAGAGGACUGUGCUGGGAUGCAGAGGGUUGUGCUGGGAUACAGGCAGCUGGGCUGGGAAGGAGGCCGCUGGGCUGGGAUACAGAUAACUGUGCUGGGAUGAAGGCGGCUGUGCUGGGAUGCCCUGCUACACAGUCCAGCAAUGAGGAUCCUGUGUGAUCUAGGGGAGGGAAAAUAUCUGUGUGCUGGAGAGCUGACUGCAAUGAUGGCACAGAUGUGGGGUCUCAGGGAGGGCGCCAUCGCGGUGUGCUGGAGCUGUCUAGGAGUUGGCCACUGAUCCCGGAACUGGAGUGCCCGGUCAUUGCUUCCUUGGGUGAACUGUUUUACAGGUGGUUUUAUGGGUGGUUUGGCUUUUCAGAAGAGUGAAUGGGGAGGAUUUUGCUGAGUUGGGAACAAGAGGGCAAUUGUAAUGUCUUUAUAGGCUUCUCAGCAGAGAGAAACAUGGUCUCGCGGGGAAAACAGCAGGGAAAACAAAGGGAAACGAGCAGCAAAUUGCUGGGGCGGAACCGGCUGUUGAUCAGAGAGGCAAGUGGUAAUCAACACGCCGGAUUUUCUGCUGGGCCUCUGCAGAAAUGACAAGAAAAUUCACCAUUGUAGGAACUGGACAAGAAACUCCUCCUGCUGCCAUCCUCAGAGCUGGCAGGAGCACAGACAGGUUAUUUUCCAUCUUCCCUGCCCCCACCACAGGAGCUGGACUCUGCUUCGCAGUAAGUCACACUCUCUUCUGCACUGUUAUUGGCUUGGACACAUUCCACUGGCUAAUGACACUCUCUUUACUCGCCUGCACGCUCCAUUUUCAGCUGGAUACAAUCUCACCCCCGAACAUGUGUUAUAGUUGCUGUCCACCCCAGAAGUGGCUGCAUUUCAGUGCAGGGUGCUUGUGCCAGGAACAUGGUGAACUGCUUUUAUCAUGCGCUUUGAGCAUCUCAUCUGCACUCUGACUGGAAAUCCUGUAUAAGAGCUUGAUAUUGUUACUGGUUUAUCUAGCACAAGCCAGACAUGGAGGCACCUCACGUACUAAUGAGACAGAUGGGGACCUUCCCAAAUUGCCUCCAAGCUGAGGUCUGCUCUACACUCUGUUUUUGUCCUGACUUGUGAUUUCCUCCUGAAAUAGUUAAAUCAGCACCACUCCUAAAGUACCACAGUUAUGUUGGUAGAAAGGUGACUCGUAUAGGUACAGCUUAGUCCCCUUCCCUUAUGCAGUGGUCCCCAAACGUUUUCUGUCACGCCCCCCCCCACCCGGAAUGGAAUCUGUCUGCGCGUUGCCCCCGGGAGCCACAGUUGGAAGCCGGGCUGGGAGCAGAGCCACAGCCAGGGUGAGGAGCUGAGGCUGCAGGCUGCAGUCGGCAGUGGGGUUGGGACUGGAGCCAAUGCCAGGGCUGUGGCUAGAGUUGCGGCUGGGGCCGGGACCAAGAGCGGGGCUGCAGCCAGGGCCUGAGGCCGGGAGCCAGGGGCCUAGGUCGCAGCUAGAGCUGCAGCCGAAAGCGGAGCUGCGGCUGGAGCUGGGGGCCAAGGCAAGGGCCACCACUGCAGCUGGGAGCAAGGCCAGAGCCUGGGGCCGGGAGGUGUGGCCAGGGCAGGGAGUGGGGCAGGAGCAGA